AAUGUAUAAAGCAAGUUAUGUGAAUUUUUUCAUACAGCAUCAAGUCCUUUCUCAACGUCAUGUUUUAAAUGUUUUUGCCCUCUAACACGAAAAAAACCAUUCUAAGUAAGCAAAGCUUCAACUAGCCGAUUCGUGUGUUUGAUUUCUAUUAUGUUCCCACUGUCUCUACUUUGAGACUUCUCAUACACAAGCAGAAAACCAAUCGAUUACCAAUCUUAGUUUUCUUUUUCCAGCAGAAUUCGUAAAAAGUUAAUUUUACAAUAACUGAAUUAAAAAAUUGCAAUAUUUCUGUUAAUUAAAUCAGUUCGGCUAACUUUAAUCUUCCAUAAAGCAAGCAGAG